rnacentral:misc_RNA from 1 species
AAGUCGUAACAAGGUUUCCGUAGGUGAACCUGCGGAAGGAUCAUUAGCGAAGUUCGGAAUGCAUGUUCGAUGUUGAUGCUGCCCAGCAAUGGGAUGUGCUCGCUCGGUUGUGUGUCCCUUCUCUAUCCACCCCAUUGUGAACCAAGUGUGUGAGCCGAAGAGAAAUCGGACGCUCGCAUGCAAACCUUUAACAUACCCCAAUCAAGUAUCAGAAUGUACCUUGCGUUAACUCGCACAAAUAUAACUUUCAACAACGGAUCUCUUGGCUCUC